rnacentral:rRNA from 1 species
AUUGAACGCUGGCGGCAGGCCUAACACAUGCAAGUAGAGCGAGCGGCGGACGGGGGAGUAAUGCCUAGGAAUCUGCGUGGUAGUGGGGGAUAACGUCCGGAAACGGGCGCUAAUACCGCAUACAAUCGGAUGUUCCCAGCUGGGAUUAGCGAGUAAGUGGGGCAAAGGCUCACCUAGGCGACGAGCCCUAGCUGGGCUGAGAGGAUGACCAGCCAAACUGGAACUGAGACACGGUUCAGACUCCGAGAGGAGUCAUCAGUGGGGAAUAUUGCACAAUGGGAGCAAGCCUGAUGCAGCCAUGCCGCGUGUAUGAAGAAGGCCUUCGGGUUUUAAAGUACUUUCGGCGGGGAAGCGUUCCCCGCAGAAGAAGCACCGGCUAACUCCGUGCCAGCAGCCGCGGUAAUUA